GACAGAGGGUGCAAACGUUGCUCGGAAUUACUGGGCGUAAAGGGCGUGUAGGCGGGAAGGCAAGUCGGGCGUGAAAGCCCCAGGCUCAACCUGGGAACUGCACUCGAAACUGCCUUUCUUGAGUGCCGGAGAGGAAAGCGGAAUUCCUGGUGUAGAGGUGAAAUUCGUAGAUAUCAGGAGGAACACCAGUGGCGAGGGCGGCUUUCUGGACGGUAACUGACGUCUGAGACGCGAAAGCGUGGGGAGCAAACAGG
rnacentral:rRNA from 1 species